rnacentral:rRNA from 1 species
AACGAACGCUGGCGGCAGGCUUAACACAUGCAAGUCGAACGCCCCGCAAGGGGAGUGGCAGACGGGUGAGUAACGCGUGGGAACAUACCCUUUUCUACGGAAUAGCUCUGGGAAACUGGAAUUAAUACCGUAUACGCCCUACGGGGGAAAGAUUUAUCGGGGAAGGAUUGGCCCGCGUUGGAUUAGUUAGUUGGUGGGGUAAAGGCCUACCAAGGCGACGAUCCAUAGCUGGUCUGAGAGGAUGAUCAGCCACAUUGGGACUGAGACACGGCCCAAACUCCUACGGGAGGCAGCAGUGGGGAAUAUUGGACAAUGGGCGCAAGCCUGAUCCAGCCAUGCCGCGUGAGUGAUGAAGGCCUUAGGGUUGUAAAGCUCUUUCACCGAUGAAGAUAAUGACGGUAGUCGGAGAAGAAGCCCCGGCUAACUUCGUG